AAGAAAUAUUACUGAAAAAUGAGAAAAAAUAGACUAGAAAGACAUAUUUUCUAAAAACAUGACACUUUAAGGGCUAAAGCAUUUAUUAUCCAUUUCAUCAUGAAUAAAUUGAGAGGUCAUAAUUGCCAGCAUUGUUUCCUGAACUCUGGAGGGAGCCUGAGUGAUCUUGGUAAAUUGUCUCAGGUAUUUGGAAGGCAUCAUGGUUCAAAACAAUUGGGUCCUGCAGAGAAGGUCUGAGUGACAAUUCAGAGCCAGCUUUGAAUUGAGGAUUGGUAAAUUGCACGUGGCAGAGCAAUCCAUGGCCCAGGAGCCCCUCACAGUGCAGGAAGGAGCAGAGAGGAGCUCCCCCUGGUGGCUCUUGGGUGAUGCUGCUUGACCCAGGUAAGAGCUCUCCCUUGGCUGUGCUGUCUCUGUCUGAAGGACCAGGCUGAUGCUGGCUGCUCAUCAUGGGCUAGAGGAUCAGCAAGUUCCGUGGCCGUGUCUGCAGUAAUUCCAUCUUUUUCUCCUUUUCUGUGUCAGGGAAGCACCACUGAGAGCUCCAAAAUUCCCUCCCUGAAUGGGGCAACUGACAUAUGGUUCAGAAUCUCUUCAUAUCUUGAUCUCCCUCCAAAAUCCAUAUUCACCAGCUCCUGCAGACUUGAGUCUGUCUUGAUAUAGCAUGGAUUCUACUAGUAUGUUGGGCAAUUUUUGCAUUAAUGUCUAUAAAUGAUGGUAUCCUAUAAUUUUCAAAUCUGAUACUGUUUCUGUUGGGUUGGGUUUCCUAUCUUUUUCGAGAAUCAGUAAAUUAGAUUGGACUAUGUGCCCUUUAAGUCUUUGGGAUACUUCCUUGCAUGUGUGAUAGAACUCUGCCAUGAUGCCUUCUGGUUUGGAGUCCAUAUUAGAGAAGAUGUUUCCUCACUCAUUUUUCACACACAAACACACACACACACCCCUAGACACUGUGCAUGUUGGCAUGUGUAGUACAGUCACACACAGGACCCUGGAAUUAGGGAGAGAAGGAGGUAGAAAGAAUGGAAUUACCCACUGCUUGUGCCACAUGUCAGGAGAAAAAGCCCCACCCCCACCAUCAUCCUUCACUUUCCCCCUAAUGAAACUCCUUGUUCAGUGAGUGAGGAGGGUGAUGAGGGGAGAAAUCUGAGUCAUGGUGGUGAAGCCCCAGAGUCUUCGUUGCUCAGGUCUACUUGUUGGAACUGUGACUCUCCCGUCUCCAGGCAUCUCUUGUCCUGUGCCCAGAGAGCUUCACAGGCCACGUUUCUUCAUGCAAAUUUGUUCCUGCUGUGUAAUCGUGCAUCUACACCUUCUUGAACAUAAGCUCAGGACAAUGUCUCCACGAGAUGUAAAGAAUGAAAUAUGAGACUUGGAUGUGUGUGUCAGAAACGAGAUCGAAUGUGGCUCCUGGAGGCCCCAGGUGCAGGAAGUAAAACUUCAAUGUGGACACUUGUUGCCCAAGUGUGAAAGACGCAUUAGAGUAUUUUCCUUGAUGGCCUGGGCCAGAACCCUGUCCUCUCAGGAGCAGUCCAACAGCGUCCCCUGCUGGGCUCAGAGCCCAUGUCCUAUGACACCACCCAGCUGUCCUGGAAGGGGUUGCUGACUUUUGCAGAUGGAUUUUUUAUGAUGUCACUGCCCAGGGCAGUAGAUUGAGUAAGUCUUCUCUGUGACGUUUGGGGCUGAGACAUUGAUUUGUUCAUGUCACUAAUGUCUCAUUUGGUUCUCCUCAAUGAGGAGGAGAACUCCUGGAAAUCAGGAAAUCAAAGUUCUGAAAUCAGGUGACAGUGAGAAGUAUAGCUUCUUUAAGGUUUCAGAGCUCAGAGAAUUAUCCGCCAACCCCCGGCUGGUACCAGGAGACAUACACAGGACUAGGGUGAGAUCACGUGGUUCUUCUGAGUCAUAAACGCUGUACUUCGGCCCUUCUCAUCCACAAACAGCCCCUGUGGAGGCUAUUUUCUUUUUGGAAACAAAGUAAUUCUGUUUGCAUUGAGAGCUAAGUAUCUUCCACUUCCCAUGGAAUGGGAGCUCUUUGUGGUAUUUGGGUUGUAUUUAGCUCUGUAGCAGUGAUAAUCAGCCUCAUCCUCAGGCUGGAGCCCAGAGGUGGCCAAAGAGGUUCUAGUAAUAAAUGUGGAUCUCAAGAAUCAGUCUGGAACCCCUGGAAGGUCCCCACUGCUGUCCUAGGUCACACAAGUAGGGGCUCUGCAUGAGAGUCCUUGGUACCAUUGCCAUGGUGACACCCAAUGUCUCUGCUGCUCCCUGUGCAGGAGAAGGUGACCUUGGAUCCGGGCCCAUCAGGAGCUUCACAGGAGGAGUCACACAUGCACACACUGGGGAGUCCCUGCGCCUGAUGUUCACAGCCCCGCCCCACGCCCUGGGUUGUUGGAAAGCUCCAGUGAGUUUUCCUGAGACUUCAGAAACAUGGAAUGAAAAAUUGGGAGUGGAUGCACUAUGAAACAGAAGCACUUCCGAAGGUCAUUUGUAUACGUACAUCUGUGUUUCCUGAAGAUGCGUGGAUCUGUUUGAGAACUGAGCUCACGAUGUGACUGCUGCGUGGCGCUUGAACAGCCCACCGUGAGCCCACUGCGCGCACAGGCCUCCUCCUGGGCAGGUCGUGUUUGAUCCCCCCGUUGGAAUUUUGAUCUUUUCCCAGAGCGUCCGUGUGCCUUCUGUGUCAGAUGGUUGUCUGGGGUCUCUGCGGGCCUUGUGGUUAAUGAAGACGUUGCUGUGUAUGCAGAGAGAAGGGGCUGCACUCAAGCUCCACCGGAGCCUGGUUCCCAGCGGAGCGGCCUCUGCUGAGGCGUCAGAAGACACACGCUGGGCCUGGGGCUUUACUGAAGAGGUGACUGAGUGUGAGACACGCACAGAAAUGACUCUAUAGGCGGUCCUGGAAAAGAGUGUGAGCCCUGAGGCUUCAGUGCCUGUCACAGGCAGGGUCCACAGGACAUCCCAAUCUUAUGGUCCUCACGUGGGAAGGUGGCCUCAUGCUGCCAGUUGCCUCUGAGAGGAAUGUUGUUCCUGAAGAAAGGUUUUCUGCUGUGUUGAGGUGAACAGGCUAAGUGUGUGAUUUUAGCAACAGCUGAAUCUAAAGUUUCUCAGUGUCAGCGAUCUGUGGAAAGGCCUCAGAGCCUCUGCUGCUCAUCACUGGUGAAAAACAACACAGCACAUGAAAAGAGGCUCAACACCAUGGGGCAUAAGGGAAAUGCCCGUCAAAAUGCACUGAGGUAUCACUCCCCCCAGACUAGAAGGGCUAUGAUAACAAUGAGAGACAAUAACAAUUGUUGGGGAAGAUGUGUGGGAAUCAGAACAUGCAGAUGGUGUUGGUGGAAAUGUAAACCAGUGCGGCCAUAUUGGAAAGGAUCUGACGGCUCCUCAGCACUGUGAUGUAAAGCCCCACACGUCGCAGCAAUCCCGCUCCUGGGUGCAUCCCCGGCAAAUGAAGACACAUAUUCACCAAAACCAAAGCAAACAGGACUUGUACCUGAACGUUCCUAGCAGCAUCGUGCAUACUAGCGAAAGAUGACAAACAACUCAAAUGCCCAUCAACAGGUGAAUGCAUAAACAAAUGGUGGUUUGCUCACACAAUGGAGUAUUAUUUGGCGAUUAAAAAUGGACUACUUUGUCAUGCCACAGCAUAGAUGGACAUCAAAACUCUUAUGCAAAAGAAAUAAGUGAAAUAAGGUGGUCACAAAGGGCCACAUAUUUUCCUGGUUCCAGCUACAUGAAAUGUCCAGAAUAGGGGAAUGUAUGAAGACAGACAGUGGAUGGGCGGUUCCUUAAGGCUGAGCAGAGAGUCAGGAAGAGUGAUCUCAAAUGGGUGGGGACGUUCUCUGAGGGAGGAUGGAGAUGAUCUAUAAGUAGAUUACAGAGACAGUUACACAGCCCUGUAAAUAUGCUGAGCACUACUGUAGACAUUACACUGGGGAGCUUUAUGACGUGCAGACUACAUCUCAAUAAAAUUAUAAACAAUGUGAGACUGAGCUUCUGCCACUGAC